AGAUUCGUGGCCAUCGGAAAGUUACAGCCUUCCGAAACCAUUAUCAGGAUGUCCAAAAUUAUGGGAAGAAGGAUGGUUAAAACAAGACCUUGAAGACGAUGCAAGAAAAGACUGGGAAUUCCAAAGUAAAUUCUCUUCCAAUUUUAAAAUGGAUGCUACUAUUAUUAGGAAAGAGUUUGUUGAAAGAACGUUUUGCACAAAAGUUGCCAACACUUUUGACACAGUGUGGAUUGCAUGGCCGAAAGGUAUGAAAUAUAAAUGAUAUGAAAGCAUAUAUAUAUAUUACACUACAGUCUUUGGAGUUCAUCAAUAUAUAUAAAUGUAUGCUGUUUGCCAUUUACGCAAAAAUCCUAUUAUACUUUAAAAAAUUCAUUAAUUAUUCACGAGGAAAAUACAAAAGAAAUGUUUAAUCAAUGUUUGUAAAUCGGAUAAAGAUUUGUCCUGAUUUACAUAAACUUCAGCUUUGAUUUUCUCGGCUAGCUUAGACAAUGUUUAUUUUUGAAAUUACUUCGCCAAUGAACUCAUAAGAUGGGUCAUUUUUUAAGUACGAUAAAACAUUCGCAUCCGAUCUGCAUCUGAUAUACAAACUCUCGCCUUCGGCUCGAGUUUGUAUAUCAGAUAUAGAUCGGCUGCUCAUGUUUUAUCUAGUACUUAAAAAACUCAUUAAUAAUUCAUGAGGAAAAUACAAAAGAAAUUAAUGUUUAAUAAUUUUUCAGUGUUUGUAAAUCGCAUAAAGAUUUGUCCUGGUUUACAUAUACUUCAGCUUUGAUUUUCUCGGCUUGAAAGAUAAAUAUAUAUAGUGACACCAACAGACUCACAGCGAACAUCAUAGAAGCCAAAUAUAUACUAUACUCUAUAGCCUCGAAAACCGAUUCCUAACCUUCAAGUUUAUUCCUUCAUUUUUCUCCUGGAAUUCCAAUAUUUAAUAUUUAUUUUAGUACGUAUUUUUAGCUUUGAGUAUUUUGUUUUAUGAUAAAAUAGUCGCUUACGAAAAACACUUAGCCUAUCAAAACACGAUUCUAGCUACGAGCCGACGACCAGGAAAUCUCUAUAUUUAUACCUAAUAAAUUAGUAGGCAUUACUGUUACAAAUGAUAAUGUUGUUGUCAUAUUUCAACACUGAUAUAUAGAGAGGCUGAGAUUUGACUUCCACUAGCGCUAUCGUUACCAUUAAGGACCAUGCAUUAACCAAUCAAAUGCGUUUAAUUUACUCAAUUAACCAAUCAGACGCACAUGCACUGAUAAGGCAAACUAAAAAGGCAAAUCUGAAACAUCAAAUUAAAAUAGCAUUGUUUCAAAAUGAUAACAACGUUCAUUGCUACAACAUAUAAUAAUAACAUGAUAACAUUAAUACAGCAACGAUAACAACGACCUUCGGUUAAAAUAUUAUAUCAACAUUGUUACGACGUGACAAAGUUAACAUGAGGUAAUUUUGUUACAGCAUGCAGUGUUGGAGCAUUGAUAACCAUAUGCACACGUAGUGUUAAUUACGGCAUGAUAACACUAUACAUUAAAAAAAUGUGAGAGAGAAUUGGCAAUUGUAAUUGAUAUAGACUAUUUUUUAUUUUAGGUUCUUACUGUAUUUACAGAAAACACGAGAGUUGCCCGCAGGACAUGGUAGGAGGUUCAAUAUUUUGGGAUGAUGAAGACAAUAGUAAUCUAAAUGAUAAAGGGGGUUCUUUGCCCGCUUUAGAUACUGGCUAUUUUGGUACAGAUACAAUAUUAUACUAUUGUUGUCAAAAUCAAGGAAAAUGGUAUACACCUAUUGAACUGCCAACGGAAAAGCCAUUCUAUUUAUUACCUUAUGAAUCGCGGAACUGCCAACGUGUGAAGUGGGCUAUCAGUUCACUCGAGUACAUCAUAUAUGACACUGAGGAUAACAACAAUUUUGAUCAAUUUAUUGGACACCAUGUCUUCACUGACAAAUUCAAAAGUUUACCGAAAAUAUUUUACUGCUACUAUAAAGGUAGGUUUUUAAAAAUUCAAUUUAUUGUUGGCAUAUUCCCUCAAUCAGACAAUAAGGAUUGGAACAUACUGAUCAUUACUUACAAACAGUGAAAACAAGGACCAGACAUGC